ensembl:snRNA U6 U6 spliceosomal RNA
GUGCUCGCUUCAGGAGCACUGAUACUAAAACCAGAACGAUACAGAAAAGAUUAGCAGGGCUCCUGUGCGAGGAUGACAAGCAAAUUUAUGAAGCAUCCCAUAUUUUU